rnacentral:RNase_P_RNA from 1 species
GUGGCAGGACGUGCUAUCGCUUUUCCAUGUAAGAUGAGAAGAGAGGAAAGUCCGGACAGGAUAGGGCGCUGCACUGUCGAAAGACAGAUAUUUGCAAGAGUAUGGCGAUGUAACAGAAAAUAACCGCCCGUCACAGUACGGGUAAGGGUGAAAAGGUGAGGCAAGAGCUUACCGCGUCGUGUGGCAACAUGCGGCGGACAGUACAACCGGCAGCCUGCAAGACCAUGUAAACCGGCGUUUGAGGGUUGCCCGCCCGAUGCCGGAGGGUAGGUCGCAGUUUCUGUGGAAACACGGAAGAAAGAUAAAUGAUAGCAAUCCCCGUCAGGAGAUACAGAAUCCGGCUUACAGUCCUGCCAUUUAC